AGAGAAGGGGUCUCAUUAUGUUACCCAGGCUGGCCUUGAACUGCUGGGGUCAAGUAACUCUCCUGCCUCAGCCUCCCAAGUGGCUGGGAUUACAGGCACCUGCCUUCUGUAAUGCUUAUUGCCUUCUAUAUAUCUGUAGCACUUAUUCUUCUGUAGUCAGCCUUCCUUUUCUUUUAUUUUCGUAGCUUAAGUCCCUUAGUUGUUUCCUUUUGAAGGUUUACAACACAUCCUUGUUACCGGCUGGUUAUUUUUUUGCUGGACAGAAUUAACUCUGGAGUAGCAAUUUAAUGUUUUAUCCUCCAUCUUUUGAAAAAUAUUGUCAAAAGAUGGAGGAUAGAACAUUAUCCUCCAUCGUCAAGAAAUUUUUAUUUGUACUGAAGGAAGCUUCCAUGAUAGUCCAUUUGGUUUCACUAGAUACAAAGGAAUACCUGAGGCUGGGCAAUUUAUAAAGAAAAGAGGUUUAUUUGGCUCAUGGUUCUGCAAACUGCACAAGAAGCAUGGCAUCAGUAACUGCUUCUGGUGAGGCCUCAGGAAGCUUUUAUUAAUGUCAGAAGGCAAAGGGGAGCUUGUGUGUCACAUGGUGAAAGUGGGGCAAGAGAGACAGGAGGGAGGUCCCAGACUUUUUAACAACCAGAUCUCAUGUGAACUCCUUACUGCUGGGAGGGCACCAAGCCAUUCAGGAGGGAUCUGCUCCCAUGACCUAAACACCUCCCAGUAAGGCCCCACCUCCAACUUUGGGGAUCAUAUUUCUUUCUUUUUCUUUUCUUUUCUUUCUUUCUUUCUUUUUCUUUCUUUCUUUUUUUUUUUUUUUUUUUGACAGACUCUUGCUCUGUCAUCUAGGGUGGAGUGCAGUGGUGCAAUCCCAGCUCACUGCAAACUCUGCCUCCCAGAUUCAAGCAAUUCUUCUGCCUAAGCCUCCCAAGUAGCUGGGAUUACAGACCUGCACCACCAUGCCUGGCUAAUUUUUGCAUUUUUAGUAGAGAUGAGGUUUCACCUUUUUGACCAGGCUGUUCUCAAACUCCUGACCUCAAGUAAUCUUCCCACCUUGGCCUCCCAAAGUGCUGGGAUUAUAGGCAUGAGCCAUCGCACCUGGCCCACAUAUUCUUUUUAAAAAAUCUGAGCAUGUUUCAAUUUUACUCCACAUAUUUUUCUAUCUUCACAGGGAAUGCAUCCCAAAUGCAACAAAUAAUAUGCUUUUCACAUUCCAUUAUGCAUAUUUUUGCAGAAAAUGAAUGUUAUUCUCAGAAGAGAACUCAAAAAGGAUUUCUAUGAAGUCUCUGGCAGAAAACCGAGAAAUUACAAAUGGCAUGGAAACAAGAUCAAGAAAGGUGUUUUUCUGGAGACUUUCCAAUCAAAGCAAUGAAGAUUUAAAGUGGAAUAAAAGGAUUGGGCAACAAAUAAAUCGAGUGUAAAAGAAGUCUGAUUCCUCAUUGCUGACAGGAAGACAGCCAUGGAUUGGGAAAAGAUUAGAGUGAAUCCUGUGAUGUUGGAUUGGGAUUGAAGAUACCGAAAAUAAACUCCUGGAUCCAUAUUUCACACCUUAAGAAAGCACUCCAACCCCCAAGGGCAUCAACUUCAACAGGAAAACUGACCCUUCAACUUACCAAAUCUUUGAAGUGACUAGUUGUAUAGUACAACAAGCAGAAAAUUUGCUAUGGAGGUUGUGUUAACUGUUGACAUUUAUGUGAGAUUUUUGCUGCAUAUUUGUUAGAAAAGGCUCAACAAAAUUAUAAUAAACAAUGAUUGUGUUAUUAAUUUUUUAACUGUUAUAUCAGUUAUAAAUGCUUGGAAUGAAAAUGCCUUAAGGAAAUUAGUCAAUAAUGUCACAUAUGUUACUUUUUCUAAUUGGAUCUGCCAUGAUUGCUAUAAAACUUUGUCCUUCCACUAUGACUCAUGAGUAACUUCAAUAACAAACUGCUUGGGAAUUCCCAAUGCCACAGUAGAACUAGUAUAUGCAAACAUUAUUUAUUAUCAGGGUGCACAUAAAGGGAAACUAGGACAAAAACCUACCCUGUUUCAAUUUGAUCUUGUUCUCUUAAGCAUGGAAAAAGAAUACUUGUUGCUAUAACUCAACAACUAAAACUCUUGUUUCUCAGGAGAAAAUGCAAAAAGAAAACCAGUUUAUUUGUCAUUUUUGGUUUUGCAAAUGCUAAUCAAAGUUGGUCUUUAUGCAAUGCAAUUUUUCCCACUCUUAAAACUGACUGAUAACAGCAAAUCAGACUGAACCUAAAAAUGACUCCUUCAAAAGUACUAAAAGCCUGUGUGCUUAUGUUUAUAUAUUUGUCUGUGAAUGGGGACCAAAUCCUUUUAUAUGCUGGGGAAGAAAAUUCCUUGACUCUUGGUCAUUAGCAAGUCAGUGUACUUGGGUGCUCAUGUCACUAAAAUACCUCAUUUAUCCCUCCAAUAACACCUUCUUCUGGCCAGAAGGAUUAUAUUUAUCCUGUUUCAAAAGGGAAAAUCCUGGAGCACCUGAGGCAUAAAUAUGUCAUCUUCUGCCCAAUUAGUGUUUUUUUGUUUGUUUGUUUGCUUUGCCUGGAGUAGAACAUGGAGAAAUAUGAUCAUGAUUACUGAUUUCUCUCAAAUCCUAGGCAACCUAGCUGAUACGGUUUAUCUCUGUGUCCCCACCCAAAUCUCAUCUCAAAUUGUAAUCCCCACAUGUUGAGGGAGGGGAGUGAUUGGAUUAUGGGGGCUGUUUCCCUCAUGCUGUUCUUGUGAUAGUGAGUGAAUUCUCAUAAGAUCUGAUGGUUUUAUAAAUGGUAUUUUUUCCUGUGUGCUCGCUUCUGUCUCCUGCCACCAUGUGAAGAAGGUCCUUCCUUCCCCUUCACCUUCCACCAUGAUUGUAAGUUUCCUGAGGCUUCUCCAGAUGUGUGGAACUGUGAGUCAAUUAAACCUUCUUCCUUUAUAAAUUACACAGUCUUUGGAAGUUCUUUAUAGCAGUGUGAAAAUGUACUAAUACACUAACCUAUUCAACUGUCAAAGUUAUUGCCACUCAGUAAUAAUCUUUAAAUUCAUUAGCAGCAACUGUAUUAAAUAACAGAAUUACUCUAGAUUAUCUGUUGGCAGUACAGGGAAAUGUUUGUGGGAUAGUUAACAACUUACGUUAUACUUGGGAAAAUGCCUCUGAAGUAGUUGAACUGGAGCUCAAUAAAAUUAGUUUAGGCAGGUCGGCUAAGACAAGUGCCAUCUAUUGGUAAGCCAUCCUUUGACUUAUUUAGUUGUUACCAGAAAGGAUACAUUCCUUGACUAGAUCCCUGUUACAACUUAGUAUCAUUAUAACAUUAUUGUUUCUUUUUUAAAACUGUUCACUAAGUUCUUGGAAAACAUUAUUGUUUCUGAUAAUUUUGUUGAUCUGUAAGUAUUUGUCUCAAUGCUUAGAACAAGCACUAAUGCUGCCCACUGAUUUGAUGUUGGCCCAGAUUCCUGUAGCCUGUUCUGAACAUCCAGAAGGAACUUACAGCACCUAGAAUUAUAAGCUUGACUGAGUCUAUGAAAUAGCUUGUAAAUUCACUUCCCUGUGAGCCAGGGACCCAGAACAGAUAGUCUUACUUCACCCUGGCUUUUGCAGGACAAGAUGGAGCUCAUACAGCAUUGAUUUCGUCAGUGUCUAGGGACCUGUGGUGAUCACAGAUAUUCUCUCCUGGGAGAAAUAUCUUGAUCAAAUGAGGGAAAUGUGAGCUUAUCAAUGUUCCACACUUGCCAUCAGUAAUUUCAUCUUUGUCUACUGACUUCACAUUAAUACUGCCGAUGAACUUUGAGAUCUACAAAGUAACACUUCCUUCACAAAUAUUUGUACUCUCAACAGUACACACUAUAAAGAAACCGGUCACUAUCUUUAAGAACUUUAUAUAUAUAGCUUUUCUGACAAACUGAUGUAAUUUAUUCACGUUUAAUCAACUAAUGAAAUAAUCUGACAAACAAUAUAUGUAAACUAAAUAAGUUUUUCUCAAUGUAAGCCCUCUUUCCUCUUUCAGGUGGUGCAGUCUCUGGCUGCUAACUGGGUUGUAAUCCCUGUUCCUGAAUAAAUGUUUAUUUGCCUCUAGCCUGUUCAU
rnacentral:lncRNA from 10 species